UAUCUCCAUGUUUCACGAAAAUCAAAGUCUCCACGUGAAGUUGUAUCAGAAAAAUCAUUAGAUGCAAAAGGAGUGGCCGCCGGCAAUUAUAGCUGACUGGAUUAGGCGCAUGGAUGGAUGUUCCAAGAACAUGUCCGCCGUGCAAGGUUGCGAUGCGCAAUGACUGCCAAUAUAAGAGUGUUGUGGUGCAGCGACGGUGACAACGAUGUACACGGCGGAUGAGUGACUUCUCUAUGUGGUAGCAGAGACAACGAUGUAGGCUCCACAUCGCGGGCAGGUGACUGGC